CCUACGGGAGGCAGCAGUGAGGAAUAUUGGUCAAUGGACGAGAGUCUGAACCAGCCAAGUAGCGUGAAGGAUGACUGCCCUAUGGGUUGUAAACUUCUUUUAUAUGGGAAUAAAACGUUCCACGUGUGGGAUUUUGUAUGUACCAUAUGAAUAAGGAUCGACUAACUCCGUGCCAGCAGCCGCGGUAAUACGGAGGAUCCGAGCGUUAUCCGGAUUUAUUGGGUUUAAAGGGAGCGUAGGUGGAUUGUUAAGUCAGUUGUGAAAGUUUGCGGCUCAACCGUAAAAUUGCAGUUGAAACUGGCAGUCUUGAGUACAGUAGAGGUGGGCGGAAUGCGUGGUGUAGCGGUGAAAUGCUUAGAUAUCACGAAGAACUCCGAUUGCGAAGGCAGUUCACUGGACUGCAACUGACACUGAGGCUCGAAAGUGUGGGUAUCAAACAGGAUUAGAUACCCGUGUAGUC
rnacentral:rRNA from 1 species